GCUGCGGAAGAAUCAUCAAGAGAUGUUAAUGGUUUUAUUCCAGAAGAUGAACCCAAGAGAAAAUUGUUUGGCGUUAACACGGCUUCUUCCUCACUAUCAACCGAUACAUGUGUUAGUGGGCGAGAGUUGAUAAUGUUUUCUACUUCAAUUAACCAAUUGGCGAAAACGGUAUCUGUCGGUGUUUUGGUAAAUUGCAUGCCGGAGAGGGUGCGUUUAACUGAUUGGAUUAAUCUCUCCCAUGCACCACCGAAAUGUGGUGCUCCGGGGGGGUUGAAUAUCCACGUCGUAUCGGGGAGGUACAUUUCAUCUAUCAGCUCCUCGGUGUUUAUCUGCUUCGCCGCAUCUUUCAACUCACGAUCAGCGCCAACGAAAUUAGUCCCACGAUCAGUUCUGAUUUCAAUCGGAGUUCCUCUACGUGCGAUAAAAUUGCGAAUAGCGAUGAUGCAAGCGCUGGUGUUCAAGCUGUGAGCCACCUCUAUGUGUAUGGCCCGUAUUGUUAGACACGUGAACAGCACACCCCAGCGCUUUUCCUGUCUCCGUCCAACAGCGACCAAAAAAGGUCCGAAGUAAUCUAUCCCUGUGUAGGAGAACGGUCUGGCGUACGGCGACACUCGAGCUAACGGCAACUCAUUCAUCACUGGAGGUUUAGGUGGUACUCCGUUACAAUCAGAUCGGUGAGCCAGGAUUUUUUGGGAAGAAUAAUUGGCCUCUUCAUGUCAUGGCUUACGUAACGACAAGCAUCGAUUCUUCCUCGUACUCAUCCCUUUGUACCUGAUUUGUCAUGCAGAAGCAGCUGAUAUUCUUCUGGAAACUCUAAUCGUUGCGCUUCCUUGAUGAUCGAUUGCUCAGCUUGUAGCUCGAGAUAUUUACAGUGUGGUAACUUCGAGCAGGAGACAGUGUGGCAGUAUGCAAGAUGCACGCUGGAUAGGAGCGGGCCCGCGGCACUGCCAUCAUGCCGCACAUCUGC